rnacentral:tRNA from 1 species
GCCCGAGUAGCUCAGCAGGUAGAGCACUUCCAUGGUAAGGAAGAGGUCGCCAGUUCAAGUCUGGUCUUGGGCU